UGAUUUUGGGCUGUUUUGGGGGCGAUUUUCGGGCUAUUCCUGCUCCAUUUUUUUGCUAUUCCUGCUCCGUUUUUGGGCUGAUUCUGUGCUGAAUUUCGGCAAUUUUGGGGCUAUUUUUGGGCUGUUUUUGGACUAUUUCUGCUCCAUUUUUGGGCUAUUUCUGUGCUGAGUUUGGGCUGAAUUUGGGCUGUUUCUGCUCCGUUUUUGGGGCAUUUCUCUGCUGGUUUUGGGCUGAUUUGGGCUGUUUUGGGGGUGAUUUUUGGGCUAUUCCUGCUCCGUUUUUGGGCUGAUUUUGGGCUGUUUUUGGGCUAUUCCUGUUCCAUUUUUGGGCUAUUCCUGUUCCAUUUUUGGGCUGAUUUUGGGGCAGUUUUUGGGCUAUUCCUGCUCCAUUUUUGGGCUAUUCCUGCUCCAUUUUUGGGCUAUUCCUGCUCCAUUUUUGGGCUAUUCCUGCUCCAUUUUUGGGCUAUUCCUGCUCCAUUUUUGGGCUAUUCCUGCUCCAUUUUUGGGCUAUUCCUGCUCCAUUUUUGGGCUAUUCCUGCUCCGUUUUUGGGCUGAUUUUGGGCUGGUUUUGGGCUAUUCCUGCUCCAUUUUCGGGCUAUUCCUGCUCCGUUUUUGGGCUGGUUUCGGGCUGGUUUUGGGCUAUUUCUGUUCCAUUUUUGGGCUAUUCCUGUUCCAUUUUUGGGCUGAUUUUGGGGCAGUUUUUGGGCUAUUCCUGCUCCAUUUUCGGGCUG
rnacentral:lncRNA from 12 species